GAAAAAUUUUGAAUAAGAUCCAUCGUUUAAUCCCCUUGAAACUUUCGAAAACAUCCCUGGAGUUUGCUUGUUUGUUGGCCGGUUGUCCUGCUCAUCUGCCAAAGCCGUUGUCACUAGUGGCUGUUGUCUAGUGGGAUGUUGUUGGACUGUUCGCCAUGGCCUCGCCUGGCUACGGGCUAUUGCUGGUCUCCUGGAAGCUCUCCGGUGUAACUACUCGCUGCCAGAAAGAGAGAAAAAAGGAAUGAGAGGGGGAGGCGCUGCUGGAGAGAGGGCAACGGUGCUUAGGGAGAGGAGAGAAGAAGAGUGAGGCACCCUAGCGGAAGACAGGAGCCGGAGAAGACAGAAGUUGUCAGUGGAGUUUGGGAGAGAGAGAGAGGUGGUUGAUCU
rnacentral:misc_RNA from 1 species